UACGGAGGAUCCGAGCGUUAUCCGGAUUUAUUGGGUUUAAAGGGUGCGCAGGCGGAAUAUUAAGUCGGCGGUGAAAGUUUGCAGCUUAACUGUAAAAUUGCCGUUGAAACUGGUUUUCUUGAGUGUAUAUGAAGUAGGCGGAAUUUGUAGUGUAGCGGUGAAAUGCAUAGAUAUUACAAGGAACUCCGAUUGCGAAGGCAGCUUACUAAAAUACAACUGACGCUCAGGCACGAAGGCGUGGGUAUCAAACAGGAUUAGAUACCCGGGUAGUCCCUGAG
rnacentral:rRNA from 1 species